GGACACGCUGGAGAGACUAUGUCUCUCGGCUGGAACGACCUGGAAGCGAGGAUGAGGACAAUCACAGACCUCAAUGAAAAGGCAUGGCCUGAAACAUAUGCAUCAAGGCCCCUACAAAGUCCUUGAUAUGUCAGAAAAUGGCGUGGCCACCAUCCAAAAGAACACUGGGUCCUUGCAGAAGGUGAAUAUCAAUCGCCUGAGGCCGUACUACAGACAGAAACAUUAACAGUCUAAAGGACUGUGUAGGAGAGAGUGAUCAAAUCUGAGCUGGACAUCUACGUCAAUUGUGUUUAAAUGACAUCGUUCCAG